AAGAAGAAGAAAAAAAAAGAAAAACAGGUAGAAGAAGAAAAAGCAUUAUAGCCGGAGUGUUGAUUUCUUUUCCGUUGUUGUUGCUCUUUCUUUUAUUUUGAUUUUUCUUCGUGUGUGCC
rnacentral:ribozyme from 14 species